GGUUAUGGCUCAGCUGUAGAGUGCUCGCCUCGCACUUGCAAGGGCCUGGGUUCAAUCCUCAGCACCA
rnacentral:tRNA from 1 species